AUUGAACGCUGGCGGCAGGCCUAACACAUGCAAGUCGAGCGGAUGAAGGGAGCUUGCUCCUGGAUUCAGCGGCGGACGGGUGAGUAAUGCCUAGGAAUCUGCCUGGUAGUGGGGGAUAACGUCCGGAAACGGGCGCUAAUACCGCAUACGUCCUGAGGGAGAAAGUGGGGGAUCUUCGGACCUCACGCUAUCAGAUGAGCCUAGGUCGGAUUAGCUAGUUGGUGGGGUAAAGGCCUACCAAGGCGACGAUCCGUAACUGGUCUGAGAGGAUGAUCAGUCACACUGAAACUGAGACACGGUCCAGACUCCUACGGGAGGCAGCAGUGGGGAAUAUUGGACAAUGGGCGAAAGCCUGAUCCAGCCAUGCCGCGUGUGUGAAGAAGGUCUUAGGAUUGUAAAGCACUUUAAGUUGGGAGGAAGGGCAGUAAGUUAAUACCUUGCUGUUUUGACGUUACCAACAGAAUAAGCACCGGCUAACUUCGUG
rnacentral:rRNA from 1 species